rnacentral:rRNA from 1 species
UACGGAGGGGGCUAGCGUUGUUCGGAAUUACUGGGCGUAAAGCGCGCGUAGGCGGACCUGCAAGUCGGGGGUGAAAGCCCGAGGCUCAACCUCGGAACUGCCUUCGAUACUGCGGGUCUCGAGUCCGGGAGAGGUGAGUGGAAUUCCUAGUGUAGAGGUGAAAUUCGUAGAUAUUAGGAAGAACACCAGUGGGCGAAGGCGGCUCAC